GUCAAAAUUUUCACUCAGCAUAUAUAAAAUGGAAACGAGUUCGUACUUUCAAACCAGCCACUCUAGCUCUUGGCAGCUAGUUUUUCCUUUGCCUUCUGGAUCUUCAAAACCUUUUUCACAAUUUUUUGCUCUUCAACCAAAAAGGCUCUUAUAAUCCUCUCUCUAACAGCACCACCAGACAAUACACCACCAUAAGCGCGGUUUACAGUCCUGCGGUUCCUA
rnacentral:misc_RNA from 1 species